rnacentral:rRNA from 1 species
UACGAAGGGUGCAAGCGUUAAUCGGAAUUACUGGGCGUAAAGGGUGCGUAGGCGGUUUGUUAAGUCUGUUGUGAAAUCCCCGGGCUCAACCUGGGAAUGGCAAUGGAUACUGGCAAGCUAGAGUGUGUCAGAGGAUGGUGGAAUUUCCGGUGUAGCGGUGAAAUGCGUAGAGAUCGGAAGGAACACCAGUGGCGAAGGCGGCCUCCUGGACUAACACUGACGCUGAGGUACGAAAGCGUGGGGAUCAAACAGG